rnacentral:ncRNA from 2 species
GUGCCAAUUUUUGGCGGGGGUGAGAAGGCUUUUAAACUCGCGGGAACCAGGCGUGAUUCCUGGGCUAUGCCGUAGCUGUUACAGCCAGAAGACCGGCCUUAGAGGGGGUAAAGCA